GAGAUCUCAAAGUGAGCCGUGCGACUCUGUUCACCAUACAACUCUUGCAGGUGAACCAGCAUCUCUCUGACAGUUCUCAUAUCUUUAUGCUGUUGCUGAAGAUCAUUGGAUAUGAACGUUAAGAUAUAGCAUUUCGCCUUGUUAUCUUCGUCCAUCCACUUUUCAAAUACAGCUCAUUGAUCAACGGAUGGGUGAGCAGGUAAUGCAGGCGCUUCUUGAUCGAGGACAUAGGUGAGUUUUUCAGAAUUGAGAACAAUUCUCAAAUUUUGGAGCCAGUCUUUGUAAUUGGUGCCGGUCAACUUAUUUGUAUCAAGGAUUCGGGCUAAGAGGUUUGAAUUCGAUAUGAUUAUCUGCAGAG
rnacentral:lncRNA from 1 species